GCCUCCGUGGCGCAAUCGGCUAGUGCUUUCGGCUGCUCACCGAAAGGUUCGUGGUUCGAGCCCACCAGGGGGCG
rnacentral:tRNA from 1 species